rnacentral:rRNA from 1 species
UACGUAGGGUGCGAGCGUUGUCCGGAAUUAUUGGGCGUAAAGGGCUCGUAGGCGGUUUGUCGCGUCGGGAGUGAAAACCCAGGGCUUAACUCUGGGCUUGCUUUCGAUACGGGCAGACUAGAGGUAUGCAGGGGAGAACGGAAUUCCUGGUGUAGCGGUGAAAUGCGCAGAUAUCAGGAGGAACACCGGUGGCGAAGGCGGUUCUCUGGGCAUUGGCUGACACUGAGGCGCGACAGCGUGGGGAGCAAACAGG